rnacentral:piRNA from 1 species
UGGCCACUGCUCAUUGUUCCUGCUCUGUAU